CAUAUAGUAAAGCUGCUACACGUUUUUCAGCUACCCCAGAUACAAGUAAUUUACUGCACUCCAGAACUGAGUGUCAUGUGUUUGCUCCCAUUUUUUCCCUACUUAAUCAGGAUUAGCAUUCUCUUACACAAGGAAAAUGCCACAGCUGUAAAGCAAACCAACGGGUCAUUAUUCUCACUCUGUCUCUCCCUAUGUACCAUGCUCUGACCCAUGCUCCAUCCACGCUAUGGAGCUGGGACACUGGAAGCCCUCAGAGUCCGACUUCUAGCUGGGGUUUGGUUUUCAGCUUUGGACAAUCUGAGGACCCUAAUUCAAUCCACAGAGUCUGGAAACUCUCAUCAGAAAUUCCUUGAAACAGAAAUGUUAAACGACUCGAACUUGAGCGAUGCCUGCAAAGGAAUGAAAGCAGUUGAGCCCACCGCAACUCACCCGUAGCGAGUACUCGGCUUUCCUCAGGAGUCAAAUUGUUUCUGAUAUGACCUCAGUGUCUCUGCCUUCAUGACUGUGCCUGGCGCUGCAGGUCACCCUUCACGUCUCUUAUCCUUUGAUGGGAAAAGGGCUGCCUAAUGCGUAGCCCCUGCAUUUGUUUUCGCCAGCUUCCAAUUCUUCCACCUCGGCCAUGAUCUUUUAGGGCUAACAGCAAUAACUCUCACUGACGUUAUCUACACCAUUUAAAACUUAGACACAUCCCAAUUAAUCUCCCCAGCUAUUUCAAGGUUUUUAAGUUGCAUGCAUUAAGAGCCUCCAGUCUCUUCCUGUAGCUCAUAACUCUCUCCAGCCUAGGUCAGCUGCCCUGUUCUUCCCUGCAUUUAGGUUUUACAUUUGUAUAUGUAAUCCUUUGGCUUGGGAGGUCCUACAAAUUAAGUUUCUAUGUCUCAUUUCACUUGUGGCUUAAAAAAAAAAUUCCACGCUGUGAAUCUUAAACUCGUCAAUGCAUUAAGAGAGAAAUUCCUAAUGGCCUUUUUUUUUUUUUAAUUGCCACUCUCCCUUUUGUUCCUAUUUGUUUCUAUGUAACUCAAUUAUGAAUUGUGGCAAAUGAGCAGAUUUACCCACAAAAUUAUUGACAAAACAACAGGUACCAACACAGAUAAGAGUGCAUGCUAUGUACCCAUGAGCUAGUUUUAUCAUAAGACUAGUGCAAACUCUUCCUUCCCCCCAUCUCCUCAAUAUGCUUCAGUGGGGACUCAAGGAGCUGGCACAAGGCGGUGCCUUCCACUGGCGCCUUUCGGAGGAAACGAUGUUAUUCUUCAGCAUCUCAGCUUUCAAUUAAAAACACUGAAGUCUCUGGCUGUUAUGGCUGUGAAGAAAACCUCAAAAAUGUGAACCAAGUGGAAGGGAUGCAGAGACGAAUCUGACAGCAGCCUGGAACAAUACCUCUGAGAGGUGUGAACUUUCUCCAGCGCUUACCGUGAUUUUAGCAUCUUGUCCUUAUUAACUCUUUCACUCCACAGGUGAGAGAGGAGAGGGAGAACUAUACAAUUUCCAGUGGGUGGUGUCCUGUAGUGCCACGGGUACAAAGCAUUUGGAAGGUACCUUCAAACAUUUGUGGGAGAAAAUCAAGCCCCAGGACCAUAGCACCACCCGUGGGAAUAAGCAAGCUGCACUCAUGGUGCAGCAAACUCAAGGAGUACAAGGGAGCUCAGAAAGCUCAUGUAGCCGCAUUUGAAAAAAUCUGCACCAUCUGCCCUGCUGGCAUCUCAUUUUGACCACUCUCCUGGGUGGAAAUGAUUUUGUGGGCAAAGCUGGGAAGAGUACCACCUCGUUUUUGUUUCCAUUAGCAUUAACAAGAAGAAGGCCAAGUAAUUUCAGCCACUAAGAUCCAUUUGUAAUGUGGCUAUCAGCCCAUUAGGAACCAGGGCUUAUUAACUGCAUUCGAAUGCAACCUGGGGCUGUGGAUAGAAGGGUGCCUUCUGAUAGAUGUCUGUCCUGAUGGGGAUUUUUGUUCCUCCAGGUCUCUCUGCCUCAUACAAGCCCACACACUAGCCCUUUCUUUGUGCACAGGCAUUUCAUAGCGCUAACAUAUGAGCGUGGUAAGUGGCAUUAUUUAUGGAUUCUCAGACUGCCUCCCUUGUGCUAUUCACUUAUUAAUGAACCUAUCAGCUUCAGCAUGUGGAUUUGGUUCAAAGGACAAAGCCCGUUUACAUAUGGGAAAUAUUUCCUCCUGUAGCAGCAAGUUAGCUGUAUUGUUGCUGCAGCAGCUUGACAAUAGAUUGCGAAGCUGCAAGUGCUGCAUCUGCUGCAAAUGUGCAUGGCUGAAAACAGCAACGCAACAUUUGCUGUAAAAGAAAGAAACAUUCAUUAUUAUUUUUAUUGCUCCCAACUACUGUAAACUGUGGAGGAAUAGAGCUGCAAAGCUAGCCAUUAAACUGUCUGCUCUUUCCUGUUUAAACAAGGCCUCUCCUGGGUUUUAGCUGCCUCAACCACUGUGGGUCAACAUCCAGGAAGGAAGACGUUUCUAAGGUAACCACCGUGGCCUUCUACUAAGGUGGUUCCAUGAAAGCGCAGAACUGGUGAGAGUGACAAAAAGCAGUUCAUUGGAUAAUGUACAAAAAGUGCUUUGUACUGUCCAGUUUCUUUGGGGUAAAAUGUCAUUUGUGGAGAUGUAGAAAUUCAGACUUCUUUGGAGCAAUAAGAACAAGGGGUUUCUCUACUGCCACAACCCAGCAUCCAUCACGGAAGGUAGAUCUAUCUCCUCCCACUUCAGUUAGUUAUAAGUCACUUCCUCUACUCAAGGUCCCACCACUUCCAAAACCUAUGUCAUGCAUAUAUUGAGCCUAAUUAUAUAUCUUUGUAAG